ACCUGUAGCCAUGAUUCCCUGGCUGUUCCUGAUCUCUAAAAUUAAGCAGGAUCAAGUCUGAUUAGUACAUUAGGUACUAUUUGGGAAUACCAAGUGCUGUGGCUU
rnacentral:rRNA from 1 species